rnacentral:rRNA from 1 species
UUAACGGAGCGAAAGCGACGUUCAACCGCAAAAGAAGCAGAGGGGGCUUAGUGGUGGGGUGACUGCGUACCUUUUGUAUAAUGGGUCAGCGACUUAUAUUCUGUAGCAAGGUUAACCGAAUAGGGGAGCCGGAGGGAAACCGAGUCUUAACCGGGCGUUAAGUUGCAGGGUAUAGACCCGAAACCCGGUGAUCUAGCCAUGGGCAGGUUGAAGGUUGGGUAACACUAACUGGAGGACCGAACCGACUAAUGUUGAAAAAUUAGCGGAUGACCUGUGGCUGGGGGUGAAAGGCCAAUCAAACCGGGAGAUAGCUGGUUCUCCCCGAAAGCUAUUUAGGUAGCGCCUCGUGAAUUCAUCUCCGGGGGUAGAGCACUGUUUCGGCUAGGGGGCCAUCCCGGCUUACCAACCCGAUGCAAACUGCGAAUACCGGAGAAUGUUAUCACGGGAGACACACGGCGGGUGCUAACGUCCGUCGUGAAGAGGGAAACAACCCAGACCGCCAGCUAAGGUCCCAAAGUCAUGGUUAAGUGGGAAACGAUGUGGGAAGGCCCAGACAGCCAGGAUGUUGGCUUAGAAGCAGCCAUCAUUUAAAGAAAGCGUAAUAGCUCACUGGUCGAGUCGGCCUGCGCGGAAGAUGUAACGGGGCUAAACCAUGCACCGAAGCUGCGGCAGCGACGCUUAUGCGUUGUUGGGUAGGGGAGCGUUCUGUAAGCCUGUGAAGGUGGCCUGUGAGGGUUGCUGGAGGUAUCAGAAGUGCGAAUGCUGACAUAAGUAACGAUAAAGCGGGUGAAAAGCCCGCUCGCCGGAAGACCAAGGGUUCCUGUCCAACGUUAAUCGGGGCAGGGUGAGUCGACCCCUAAGGCGAGGCCGAAAGGCGUAGUCGAUGGGAAACGGGUUAAUAUUCCCGUACUUGGUGUUACUGCGAAGGGGGGACGGAGAAGGCUAUGUUGGCCGGGCGACGGUUGUCCCGGUUUAAGCGUGUAGGUGUGUGUUCCAGGUAAAUCCGGUUCACUUUAACACUGAGGCGUGAUGACGAGGCACUACGGUGCUGAAGUAACAAAUGCCCUGCUUCCAGGAAAAGCCUCUAAGCAUCAGGUAACAUCAAAUCGUACCCCAAACCGACACAGGUGGUCAGGUAGAGAAUACCAAGGCGCUUGAGAGAACUCGGGUGAAGGAACUAGGCAAAAUGGUGCCGUAACUUCGGGAGAAGGCACGCUGACAC